rnacentral:rRNA from 1 species
GGAUGAACGCUAGCUACAGGCUUAACACAUGCAAGUCGAGGGGCAGCAUGGUCUUAGCUUGCUAAGGCCGAUGGCGACCGGCGCACGGGUGAGUAACACGUAUCCAACCUGCCGUCUACUCUUGGACAGCCUUCUGAAAGGAAGAUUAAUACAAGAUGGCAUCAUGAGUCCACAUGUUCACAUGAUUAAAGGUAUUCCGGUAGACGAUGGGGAUGCGUUCCAUUAGAUAGUAGGCGGGGUAACGGCCCACCUAGUCUUCGAUGGAUAGGGGUUCUGAGAGGAAGGUCCCCCACAUUGGAACUGAGACACGGUCCAAACUCCUACGGGAGGCAGCAGUGAGGAAUAUUGGUCAAUGGGCGAGAGCCUGAACCAGCCAAGUAGCGUGAAGGAUGACUGCCCUAUGGGUUGUAAACUUCUUUUAUAAAGGAAUAAAGUCGGGUAUGCAUACCCGUUUGCAUGUACUUUAUGAAUAAGGAUCGGCUAACUCCGUGCCAGCAGCCGCGGUAAUACGGAGGAUCCGAGCGUUAUCCGGAUUUAUUGGGUUUAAAGGGAGCGUAGAUGGAUGUUUAAGUCAGUUGUGAAAGUUUGCGGCUCAACCGUAAAAUUGCAGUUGAUACUGGAUAUCUUGAGUGCAGUUGAGGCAGGCGGAAUUCGUGGUGUAGCGGUGAAAUGCUUAGAUAUCACGAAGAACUCCGAUUGCGAAGGCAGCCUGCUAAGCUGCAACUGACAUUGAGGCUCGAAAGUGUGGGUAUCAAACAGGAUUAGAUACCCUGGUAGUCCACACGGUAAACGAUGAAUACUCGCUGUUUGCGAUAUACAGCAAGCGGCCAGGCGAAAGCGUUAAGUAUUCCACCUGGGGAGUACGCCGGCAACGGUGAAACUCAAAGGAAUUGACGGGGGCCCGCACAAGCGGAGGAACAUGUGGUUUAAUUCGAUGAUACGCGAGGAACCUUACCCGGGCUUAAAUUGCAGAUGAAUUACGGUGAAAGCCGUAAGCCGCAAGGCAUCUGUGAAGGUGCUGCAUGGUUGUCGUCAGCUCGUGCCGUGAGGUGUCGGCUUAAGUGCCAUAACGAGCGCAACCCUUGUUGUCAGUUACUAACAGGUCAUGCUGAGGACUCUGACAAGACUGCCAUCGUAAGAUGUGAGGAAGGUGGGGAUGACGUCAAAUCAGCACGGCCCUUACGUCCGGGGCUACACACGUGUUACAAUGGGGGGUACAGAGGGCCGCUACCACGCGAGUGGAUGCCAAUCCCAAAAACCUCUCUCAGUUCGGACUGGAGUCUGCAACCCGACUCCACGAAGCUGGAUUCGCUAGUAAUCGCGCAUCAGCCACGGCGCGGUGAAUACGUUCCCGGGCCUUGUACACACCGCCCGUCAAGCCAUGGGAGCCGGGGGUACCUGAAGUGCGUAACCGCGAGGAGCGCCCUAGGGUAAAAC